rnacentral:rRNA from 1 species
GAUGAACGCUGGCGGCGUGCCUAAUACAUGCAAGUCGAGCGAACAGAUGAGGAGCUUGCUCCUCUGACGUUAGCGGCGGACGGGUGAGUAACACGUGGAUAACCUACCUAUAAGACUGGGAUAACUUCGGGAAACCGGAGCUAAUACCGGAUAAUAUAUUGAACCGCAUGGUUCAAUAGUGAAAGACGGUUUUGCUGUCACUUAUAGAUGGAUCCGCGCCGCAUUAGCUAGUUGGUAAGGUAACGGCUUACCAAGGCAACGAUGCGUAGCCGACCUGAGAGGGUGAUCGGCCACACUGGAACUGAGACACGGUCCAGACUCCUACGGGAGGCAGCAGUAGGGAAUCUUCCGCAAUGGGCGAAAGCUUGACGGAGCAACGCCGCGUGAGUGAUGAAGGUCUUCGGAUCGUAAAACUCUGUUAUUAGGGAAGAACAAUGUGUAAGUAACUAUGCACGUCUUGACGGUACCUAAUCAGAAAGCCACGGCUAACUACGUG